rnacentral:tmRNA from 1 species
GGGGGUGAUUUGUUUCGAUAGAGGAAAGACCUCCAGUAUGCAGGCUGAGUUUCCAGGAACCUUAUCAAAAACCUGGGGCAUCACAAAUGCCAACAUAUUUGCCCCUCAAAGGGCUCUUGCUGUAGCAUAAAUCUGCAGCCAUCCACCUGCUGACCUCGAUAGGCGGGCAAGGGUGUCAAAAUCGAGAAAGGGCAUUGUUUUGCGGCCCGGGAAUGAUGCAACACAAACAGGGCCGAAAAGAAGAGGGAUUUUGCCUCGUUCCCACCCUCUUUUUCUUUCAACGGGGCUAUGCCUGAAGAAGUACUGGCGGGACAUCUUCUAGACGGGGGUUCAAACUCCCCACCUCCACAC